rnacentral:rRNA from 1 species
GUUNGAUCCUGGCUCAGGAUGAACGCUGGCGGCGUGCUUAACACAUGCAAGUCGAACGAUGAUCUCCAGCUUGCUGGGGGGAUUAGUGGCGAACGGGUGAGUAACACGUGAGUAACCUGCCCUUGACUCUGGGAUAAGCCUGGGAAACUGGGUCUAAUACCGGAUAUGACCAUCUGGCGCAUGUCAUGGUGGUGGAAAGCUUUUUUGUGGUUUUGGAUGGACUCGCGGCCUAUCAGCUUGUUGGUGGGGUAAUGGCCUACCAAGGCGACGACGGGUAGCCGGCCUGAGAGGGUGACCGGCCACACUGGGACUGAGACACGGCCCAGACUCCUACGGGAGGCAGCAGUGGGGAAUAUUGCACAAUGGGCGCAAGCCUGAUGCAGCGACGCCGCGUGAGGGAUGACGGCCUUCGGGUUGUAAACCUCUUUCAGUAGGGAAGAAGCGUAAGUGACGGUACCUGCAGAAGAAGCGCCGGCUAACUACGUGCCAGCAGCCGCGGUAAUACGUAGGGCGCAAGCGUUAUCCGGAAUUAUUGGGCGUAAAGAGCUCGUAGGCGGUUUGUCGCGUCUGCUGUGAAAGACCGGGGCUCAACUCCGGUUCUGCAGUGGGUACGGGCAGACUAGAGUGCAGUA